CGGACGGGUGAGUAACGCGUAAAGAACUUGCCCUUUAGACUGGGAUAACAGAGGGAAACUUCUGAUAAUACUGGAUAAGUUAGUAUAUCGCAUGAUAUGCAAAAUGAAAGCUACGGCACUAAAGGAGAGCUUUGCGUCCUAUUAGCUAGUUGGUAAGGUAAGAGCUUACCAAGGCGAUGAUAGGUAGCCGGCCUGAGAGGGUGGACGGCCACAAGGGGACUGAGAUACGGCCCUUACUCCUACGGGGGCAGCAGCU
rnacentral:rRNA from 1 species